rnacentral:rRNA from 1 species
GACGAACGCUGGCGGCGUGCUUAACACAUGCAAGUCGAACGGAAAGGCCUCUUUCGGGGGGUACUCGAGUGGCGAACGGAUGAGUAACACAUGAGUAACCUGCCCUCGUCUUUGGGAUAACUUCAGGAAACUGGGGCUAAUACCUGCUAGGAGCUCCUGCUGCAUGGUGGGGGUUGGAAAGUUUCGGCGGUUGGUGGUGGACUCGAGGCUUAUCAGCUUGUUGGUGGGGAAGUGGCUUACCAAGGCUUUGACGGGUAGCCGGCCUGAGGGGGUGACCGGCCACAUUGGGACUGAGGUACGGCCCAGACUGCUACGGGAGGCAGCAGUGGGGAAUCUUGCACAAUGGGUGGAAGCCUGAUGCAGCAACGCCGUGUGCGGGAUGACGGCCUUCGGGUUGUAAACCGCUUUCGCUCAUGACGAAGCUUUGUGUGACGGUAGUGGGUAAAGAAGCACCGGCUAACUACGUG